rnacentral:rRNA from 1 species
GAUGAACGCUGGCGGCGUGCCUAAUACAUGCAAGUCGAGCGAACGGACGAGAAGCUUGCUUCUCUGAUGUUAGCGGCGGACGGGUGAGUAACACGUGGAUAACCUACCUAUAAGACUGGGAUAACUUCGGGAAACCGGAGCUAAUACCGGAUAAUAUUUUGAACCGCAUGGUUCAAGAGUGAAAGACGGUCUUGCUGUCACUUAUAGAUGGAUCCGCGCUGCAUUAGCUAGUUGGUAAGGUAACGGCUUACCAAGGCAACGAUGCAUAGCCGACCUGAGAGGGUGAUCGGCCACACGGGAAAUGAGACAGGGUCCAGACUCCUACGGGAGGCAGCAGUAGGGAAUCUUCCGCAAUGGGCGAAAGCCUGACGGAGCAAAGCCGCGUGAGUGAUGAAGGUCUUCGGAUCGUAAAACUCUGUUAUUAGGGAAGAACAUAUGUGUAAGUAACUGUGCACAUAUUGACGGUACCUAAUCAGAAAGCCACGGCUAACUACGUG